AGUGAACGCUGGCGGCGUGCUUAAUACAUGCAAGUCGAACGAUGAAGUCCUAGCUUGCUAGGAUGGAUUAGUGGCGCACGGGUGAGUAAUAUAUAGUUAAUCUGCCUUGCACUUAGGAACAACAGUUGGAAACGAUUGCUAAUACCUCAUACUUCAACUUUACCUAAGUUAAGUUGGGAAAGUCUUUUCGGUGCAAGAUGAGACUAUAUCGUAUCAGCUAGUUGGUAAGGUAAUGGCUUACCAAGGCUAUGACGCGUAACUGGUCUGAGAGGAUGAUCAGUCACAUUGGAACUGAGACACGGUCCAAACUCCUACGGGAGGCAGCAGUAAGGAAUAUUGUGCAAUGGGGGAAACCCUGACGCAGCAACGCCGCGUGGAGGAUGACACUUUUCGGAGCGUAAACUCCUUUUGUUAGGGAAGAAUAAUGACGGUACCUAACGAAUAAGCACCGGCUAACUCCGUG
rnacentral:rRNA from 1 species